UUAUAUAUUUCUGAUAAAUAGUGUUGAUAUGUACAUUUCCUAAUGUACUUGAGUAAUUGAUCAUUAUUGCUUACACACUUAAAAAUAACAUACACUUAUCAUUAUUUGUGUGUGCUCAUAAGUAGCUUGCAUUGAUCCACUAUAGUUCUACUAAUCCAAAUACAGUGAAUUAUUUGUGAUUUGGACAAUGAACAUGUGAUGUG
rnacentral:lncRNA from 1 species